rnacentral:rRNA from 1 species
GACGAACGCUGGCGGCGUGCUUAACACAUGCAAGUCGAACGGAAAGGCCCUGCUUUUGUGGGUUGCUCGAGUGGCGAACGGGUGAGUAACACGUGAGUAACCUGCCCUUGACUUUGGGAUAACUUCAGGAAACUGGGGCUAAUACCGGAUAGGAGCUCCUGCUGCAUGGUGGGGGUUGGAAAGUUUCGGCGGUUGGGGAUGGACUCGCGGCUUAUCAGCUUGUUGGUGGGGUAGUGGCUUACCAAGGCUUUGACGGGUAGCCGGCCUGAGAGGGUGACCGGCCACAUUGGGACUGAGAUACGGCCCAGACUCCUACGGGAGGCAGCAGUGGGGAAUAUUGCACAAUGGGCGGAAGCCUGAUGCAGCAACGCCGCGUGCGGGAUGACGGCCUUCGGGUUGUAAACCACUUUCGCCUGUGACGAAGCGUGAGUGACGGUAAUGGGUAAAGAAGCACCGGCUAACUACGUG